CGAUGUGGUGUACGGGCGUGGAGGCCACUACCGGAUUAGUCUAGGGAAAGAGCGUCGUCUCGGCUGCCGUCGUCCGCCUCCGUCCCAUCGAACGGAUGAGCGGCCGCGGCCCUAGGACGAGAGGGGUUGAGGGGUAGGGCCGGUGACCCAGAGUUCCAAGCCCGAGUACCGCCGCCACGGCGCCGUGAACCCUGGGCUAGCAGCUCACCUUGUUCACCUUCUACGGUGGUUACGCCGCCGCCGCCUUCUUGAACCCCCUCUGCUGCUCCUCUAGGACGCCAAGUACCUGAGCCGCCUACCGAUGGAGGAGGAGUACCUAAGCGAAAGGCGGCGAGAAGCGGUCCCAACCGAACUAGACCGUUCACGAGCAGUGAGCUACCCGCGUAGUGCACAAAGCUCACACGACAAGCUAGUAUUCCUCGUUAGACGUCGGUGAUCCGACGUUCACCUAAUAAGACGUCUAAACGCUGGUAGUCUUAGUUUCGGAGUAAAACGAGACAGUUUCACCACGAACGUUCUUCUUAGUUUGAGGUCACUACAACAGUCACGUGUUCUAUCAUGAUUUGGUUUUGAUUCCAUGGCUCCUAGUCUUCGAUGGAGUCUACCAUCGUUACUUAGUCUACGUUGAUGACGUUUUAGAAGAUGCCCGCAACUGUAAACGUCGGUCCAUUUACUCGGACAAUAUAAAACGUUUAUGUCAUCCAUUUUCGUUGUAUAUAUUGUGAAUUUUUAACUCGUGUUAACUACCACUUAGUACCGGACUUUCAUUGUUGCAUCUCGUAAUCAAUACUCCUUAAUCAUUCAGUUAUUUUGGUUCAAAUUUCACGAAGUCACCAAUUAAACCGGUUCGGUGGGACUAUACGACCUUCUGGACAAUCAUCGAGAUGAGUUCAAUCAGACCGAACACAGUCAAGAUAGGUUUAAUGUGUAAGAACGAUCAUUUGUUACGAUAAAAUGUAAGUGUAAACUUUUCUACUUCUUAUAGUCCAAGUGAGUCCGCGUUCUUUGACUAUACGGUACUGCAAGCAUAUGUAAACACAGCACUGUUUCUUUCUACACACUGAGGUUCUGUGGGUUUAAGAUAAAUAACAAGGAAAGGAGACGUGAAAUCCAAGUUUGACGUUCUAGUUUUCGUAAUAGUUACAAGUCGCGUAACCACAGAGGUUUUGAUGCUUGUUGGGUUCAAAGGAAACUUAGUCCAAUAUAAAGAUUGUUCUUGUCAUCUCCAAAUCAGGAUAACUAGAUUGAAUAUAAAUACAAAGUACAUCGUGAACUUGUUUAACACCUCGAUCGCUUAAGUUCUAGUUGGUACGAGAGAUCGAAGAGUGUCUAUUUCGCGUCUAGUACUUAGCUAACGGACUAAACUCCAAGACAUGGGAACGUGUGGUAGAUAAGAGAAACACCUCAUAGUCAAUAUACGUUAGCUGUCGCGAGCAUCUUUUAUAGUAUUAGGAUAAACUUUACAACUACGUGCACCUCUACAUACUCUCAACACAAAACGCAAAGUAAUAGAACGACAACUCCGUUCGUGAUACAGACGUAUAACUGCCAAAGGAAACCCCUUUAGUUGCCCCUUUGAACAAGAAGACUUAUUUUAGUCUGGGACUCGUUCUUGCUAGUCGCAACGUAGAGAUGAAACAUUAUUGGUUCAUUAUGUGUAGUGUAUGCUUUUAAAUGUAUUGGAGAGAUAAGGAAGAAUGUGUUUGUGUUGGGUUUUGUUGUGAGUUUUUGGGAUCAACACUCACCAGAGAGUCGAUCAACCUUUGGAUUCCUUCCAGACUUCCUUUCCCCCCUUCAAUUUGUACAUGUCAUCCAUCUUCGUAAAGAAGAACAUGGCGAGAUCUCGGAACUGACUGCUGGCUACACCAAACCUGAACCCUCUCCAAGUCAACAUCCGCGGCUUCGACCACGCUGGGCUACGAGCGAAGAGGCGCCGGUACGGCAGCGAGGAACCGUCGUGCUCCAACGACUACCAGGACUGCUAGACGGCGAAGUCGACGGGGGAGAAGUCGCCCCCGGAGAAGAGGAAGCGCGACGGCAUCAACGACUACGGCGACAACGACGACAUCCUCACGAGGUACCGAGGUGGUGGACACAACAGGAAGAAGAAGAAGAAGAAGACUCACACACACACAACACGAACGAAGGAACGAAUUACACUUCUCCUGUACUCUGCCACUUUUCAUAAAUAUCCGCUUGAUUUGGGACACGAGACAGCUAAAACCACGGAGCGGUGCGUACAAUUAAAGAAACCGCCUUAUAAAACUGGAGAAGGCC
rnacentral:rRNA from 1 species